GUACCCCGAGGAAAAGAAAUCAACCGAGAUUCCCCCAGUAGCGGCGAGCGAACGGGGAGCAGCCCAGAGCCUGAAUCAGUGUGUGUGUUAGUGGAAGCGUCUGGAAAGGCGUGCGAUACAGGGUGACAGCCCCGUACACAAAAAUGCACAUGCUGUGAGCUCGAUGAGUAGGGCGGGACACGUGGUAUCCUGUCUGAAUAUGGGGGGACCAUCCUCCAAGGCUAAAUACUCCUGACUGACCGAUAGUGAACCAGUACCGUGAG
rnacentral:rRNA from 1 species